UCCUCCAUCUAAAAGACCAGGCCCAGUCCAAAUUCUAACCGGACCCGGCCCAUCUCCCUUUAUUUUAGCUAAAAUAGCCAACCACACCCUCACUUCUCUUUAUCGUUUGAAAGGGGUAAAAUCCCUAGCCUCCUAGAAUUUUUUUUCCUCUCUCUUCGCUGUCGUUGCUGGAAAUGGCAAAGGCAUGGGUCAAACAUGUGAAGUGCAGUCUUGCUCGUCUAUUUUGGGCAAGAGCAGUUAAUGCUCUUGCCCUCUUUCACCGUCACCACCGCAUAUCAGCCACGGAAAGAGCUGAGUUCGUGCGGUAAGGAGCAAGGAAACCUCCAAGUCCAAUCUCGACAUUUGACCAUACACAACAAAGGUAAUUUUCUCUCCUUUAUUUAUUUUUUAGCAGUUCUUUAUUUUGCUUUGCUAUGUGAUUAUAUGAUUUGUGUUUGUUAGUCAUGAUUAGUUAGCUAUGUAUGUAUUCUUAGUUUAGUAUUUCCUUAAGUAAGUUAAUACAUGUUUAGCUUAGAUUAGUUCUGUGUUAUCUGAUUAGUUUAAU